GACACAGGCUCCUUCUGCUGCCUGCAGAUCAAGAUACAGAACUUGCAGCUCCUCUCCAGCACCGUGUCUGCCUGCACGUCACCUGCCAUGAGGACAACAGACUGAUCCUCUGAACUAUCAGCAAAACCCCAAGACUAAUAAUAAAUAACCCGACUUACAA